rnacentral:misc_RNA from 1 species
GCAAACUUGGUCAUUUAGAGGAAGUAAAAGUCGUAACAAGGUCUCCGUUGGUGAACCAGCGGAGGGAUCAUUACAGGGUCUAACGACUGCCCAAACCCAACCGUGAACUACUCCUUCAAACACAUGCUUCGGCGGGCCGCUCGCUGGGGGAGCCCCGGGCCGCUUCGGCGGUGACCCGCCGCAGGCAUCCAAACCAAACCUUUUUCGAGACUGCUCUGAGAAAAUACUUUCUAAAUGAAAAUAAUCACAACUCAUAACAAUGGAUCUCUUGGCUCUGGCAUCGAUGAAGAACGCAGC